rnacentral:lncRNA from 1 species
CCAUACGUAUUUGAGAGCAGACUGACCUUACUGAAUUGUUGAGGCAUUCCUUGGUGCUGAUAUGAUGAUUGAGGUGGUGUUUGGAUCCAGGGACUUAACUUUAGUCCCUGUUUUUAGACACUAAUUUAGAGUAUUAAAUAUAGACUACUUACAAAACUAAUUAUAUAAAUGAAAGCUAAUUCACGAGACAAAUUUUUUAAGCCUAAUUAAUCCACAAUUAGAGAAUGUUUACUGUAGCAUCACAUAGGCUAAUCAUGGAUUAGUUAGGCUCAAUAGAUUCGUCUCGCGAAUUAGUCCAAGAUUAUGGAUGAGUUUUAUUAAUAGUCUACGUUUAAUAUUUAUAAUUAAUAUUCAAACAUCCGAUGUGAUAGAGACUUAAAAGUUUUAGUCCCAUCUAAACAGGGCCUGAGGGAACUAUGAUCCAUUGGGAAUCGAACACGAAACCCCUUCCCUAUGAAUCCAAUGAUAUCAGUAUAACUUGCAUUUUGUAGCUGUGAGACUGAUAUAUGUUGAGUAUCAAAGGGAAUCAUGGACAAGUAUCGACAAGAAGGUUGAAGCUCUCCAAUUGUACAGCCAUAAAACUCGUUGAGAUAAACAAAAGAAUUGUUGGUAGGCAGGCAAG